AUUGAACGCUGGCGGCAUGCCUUACACAUGCAAGUCGAACGGUAACAGGUUAAGCUGACGAGUGGCGAACGGGUGAGUAAUGUAUCGGAACGUGCCCAGUCGUGGGGGAUAACUGCUCGAAAGAGCAGCUAAUACCGCAUACGACCUGAGGGUGAAAGCGGUGGAUCGCAAGACCUCGCGCGAUUGGAGCGGCCGAUAUCAGAUUAGGUAGUUGGUGAGGUAAAGGCUCACCAAGCCGACGAUCUGUAGCUGGUCUGAGAGGGCGACCAGCCACACUGGGACUGAGACACGGCCCAGACUCCUACGGGAGGCAGCAGUGGGGAAUUUUGGACAAUGGGCGCAAGCCUGAUCCAGCCAUGCCGCGUGCGGGAAGAAGGCCUUCGGGUUGUAAACCGCUUUUGUCAGGGAAGAAAAGGUUCUGGCUAAUAUCUGGGACUCAUGACGGUACCUGAAGAAUAAGCACCGGCUAACUACGUG
rnacentral:rRNA from 1 species